ensembl:lncRNA
GUGUGCCUGUGGCAGCUGGUCACAGAGGAUGAGAGGUGGAGUGCUGAGGGCUGACGGAGCCUACCGUCAGUCAUGUGAAGCCUUGCAGUGCAGCUUCUCCAGUGGGCAGCAGAGGUGGAGACACACGGCUGAGGGGACUUGAGCCAGAACAGUGCACAGGAAUACAAGAUUCUGAGCUGGGACGACUGGUGGAGCUGGGACGGGGCCUGCGGAUGGGAGGACCCCACUUUCCUGAGCAGCCAGCAGCCCCCGACUUCACUGAUCGUGCUGUGGGGUGCAGGAGAAGGUCCGAGUUUGUAAGAAACAUACUCAAGAGUUUGCGGCAGAAGAGGAAACAUUUUGGCAACUCACUGUUAAAUGGUUCAGGAAAAUGUCACAGGUGCUGUACUUGCUACUUUUCUAUAAAUUAGAAAUUGUUUAAAACAACAGCAAACCAGCCUGUGGGAGGAGGGUUUGGCAAGUUCACAGGCUGUGGGUGGGAGAGCGCCUGGUGUGUUUUAGGCCCCAGAGGAACCUCCGGCUGGUAAGGCAGAACAGGAGGCUAAGGCCUGAGGCCAGGGAGGUGAGGCAGGUAGAUCUGGGGUCCUAAACAUACCUGCCUUGCAGGUGUCAUGAGAAAAUGCACCCCAGGCACUUAGGACAGCAGCCCCUAGCAUGAGAACUGGCUUGUUCUUGUCUUCCUUCCCAGGCACUCAACUUCUCCAUCAGGCUGCCAGUCUCGGCCUCUCUCUCCGCCUGUGCCUGCCUUGUUCCACUUGGGGCAAAUAUCACCUGGAUCCUGACAUCACCCAGUUUGGGGGACAUCUCCCUUUCCUGGAAAUGGGUCUCCUAGAAACGUAGGCUUCCCUGCCCCUCCUGUAGGAUGGGUGACAAUGUUGGCAUAUGAUUUACAAGGCAUGUUAUGAGACUCGGUUUCCCCAAGGGCUCCCGUUAGGAGAUACAGCCUGUGCAGAGUUGGUGAGUGACCUGGGUGUCUCUGCCGGGGCCACUUCUAGCCCAGGCCUGCUGAGCUCCGUUUCUUGGGUUUCAUCUUUUGUGGGUGAGAUAUUGCCGGCUGGUUCUGGAGGGAGAAAUGGUGAGAUUCCCUUGAUUUUCAUCACCGCAGGGGAUCAAGAGGACAACCAAGAGGAGACAGCUGGGGGAGCCAGGAUGAGGACCUGCCUCAAGCCGAGGUCACUCACACAGAUCCAGACAGCAGGUACAGCAGGCAGCAGACCAGACACCAACCAGCACCUGUCCAGGACUGAAUCUGCCAAUGGCCCUAGACCCCAGGCCACCUGGUCAGUGUGUUACGGGGGACAAAGCCCCUGGGACCUGUGAGGUCAUGGCCGGGGGACUCAGUCGAGGGGUGCCGUGCAGGUUGUAGCAGGGCCGCUGCUUGAACACACGCGAUGGCUGAAAAUGGACUUCAAACUCAGGCUCCAUCUGGCGUGGGGGUUCUUCCCCAGCUUCCCCUCCACGUGGCGAUUCAGGGACCCAGCUUCCUCCACCAAAGCCUCUGCUGUGGCCCGCACUAGGGCUCCGUGACAGUGAGCUCCGUGUGUCAGCUUGGCUGGGUGCAGCGCCCCGCUGUUCACUAACCAGAGAACUAGAGGCUGCCAAGAUUGUCGUUUACCCACGUGGUGAAUACGGGCGAUAGUAAAGGGGAAUGACCCUGAAGGUCUGGGCGGGUCUCAUCUAAUUGGUCCGAAGCCUUAAGAGCAAAACAGAUCUCCCCGAGGAAGAGGAAGUUCCGCCUCUCAGCUCCCGCCUGAGUUGCCUGCCUGCUCACCCUGUGGAUUUCAGACCUGCAGCCCCACAGUCACAAUCAUGUAAGCCAGUUCCUUGAAACACGUCUCUCGACAUGCACAUGUGUAUCCUCCAGUCUGUUCUCUCUGGAGAACCCUGACCGCUGAACCGUCGU